UGAAAUGUUGGGUUAAGUCCCGCAACGAGCGCAACCCUUAUCCUUUGUUGCCAGCGAUUCGGUCGGGAACUCAAAGGAGACUGCCGGUGAUAAACCGGAGGAAGGUGGGGAUGACGUCAAGUCAUCAUGGCCCUUACGAGUAGGGCUACACACGUGCUACAAUGGCGUAUACAAAGAGAAGCGACCUCGCGAGAGCAAGCGGAACUCAUAAAGUACGUCGUAGUCCGGAUUGGAGUCUGCAACUCGACUCCAUGAAGUCGGAAUCGCUAGUAAUCGUAGAUCAGAAUGCUACGGUGAAUACGUUCCCGGGCCUUGUACACACCGCCCGUCACACCAUGGGAGUGGGUUGCAAAAGAAGUAGGUAGCUUAACCUUCGGGAGGGCGCUUACCACUUUGUGAUUCAUGACUGGGGUGAAGUCGUAACAAGGUAACCGUAGGGGAACCUGCGGUUGGAUCACCUCCUUACC
rnacentral:rRNA from 1 species